rnacentral:tRNA from 1 species
GCACUAGUAGUUUAUAAAAAAUACUAUCUUUGUAAGUUAGAGAAGAUAUCCUAGUGUU